rnacentral:rRNA from 1 species
CUACGGGGUGCAGCAGUGGGGAAUAUUGCACAAUGGGCGCAAGCCUGAUGCAGCCAUGCCGCGUGUAUGAAGAAGGCCUUCGGGUUGUAAAGUACUUUCAGCGGGGAGGAAGGGAGUAAAGUUAAUACCUUUGCUCAUUGACGUUACCCGCAGAAGAAGCACCGGCUAACUCCGUGCCAGCAGCCGCGGUAAUACGGAGGGUGCAAUCGUUAAUCGAAAUUACUGGGCGUAAAGCGCACGCAGGCGGUUUGUUAAGUCAGAUGUGAAAUCCCCGGGCUCAACCUGGGAACUGCAUCUGAUACUGGCAAGCUUGAGGCUCGUAGAGGGGGGUAGAAUUCCAGGUGUAGCGGUGAAAUGCGUAGAGAUCUGGAGGAAUACCGGUGCGAAGGCGGCCCCCUGGACGAAGACUGACGCUCAGGUGCGAAAGCGUGGGGAGCAAACAGGAUUAGAUACCCUAGUAGUC